rnacentral:rRNA from 1 species
CAAACUGAAGAUGGCGACCGGCGCACGGGUGAGUAACACGUAUCCAACCUGCCGAUAACUCCGGAAUAGCCUUUCGAAAGAAAGAUUAAUACCGGAUAGUAUACGAAUAUCGCAUGAUAUUUUUAUUAAAGAAUUUCGGUUAUCGAUGGGGAUGCGUUCCAUUAGUUUGUUGGCGGGGUAACGGCCCACCAAGACAACGAUGGAUAGGGGUUCUGAGAGGAAGGUCCCCCACAUUGGAACUGAGACACGGUCCAA